GAUGAACGCUGGCGGCGUGCCUAACACAUGCAAGUCGAACGAUGAAACCGCCCUCGGGCGGACAUGAAGUGGCGAACGGGUGAGUAACACGUGACCGACCUGCCCCCCGCCCAGGGACAGCCCCCCGAAAGGGGGAUUAAUACCUGGUACUCCGGAAGCGGCGCAUGCCGCAUCCGGGAAAGCUCCGGCGGCGGGGGAUGGGGUCGCGGCCCAUCAGGUAGACGGCGGGGCAGAGGCCCACCGUGCCGACGACGGGUAGCCGGGUUGAGAGACCGACCGGCCACAUUGGGACUGAGAUACGGCCCAGACUCCUACGGGAGGCAGCAGUGGGGAAUUUUGCGCAAUGGGGGCAACCCUGACGCAGCAACGCCGCGUGCGGGACGAAGGCGUCCGCGUCGUAAACCGCUUUCAGCGGGGAACACUUAAACGAGGGUACCCGCAGAAGAAGCCCCGGCUAA
rnacentral:rRNA from 1 species